CAGCCCUCAAUCUGCCCAUGCGACUGCCACUCCACUGGGAGCCUGUGCCGGGCUCCUGCAGCUGGACCUGCCUGUGCCAGGGCAGCGAGGGCACCGUGCUGGUGUUCCCUCCCACAGCUCAGCUCAGCUCAGUCCUGCUAUUUGUCAGUGCAGGUUUUAGCCCAAGCAGGAUCAGUGUCUCCUCUCUGCUGCACUGCACUGCCCUGGAGCCCUUUACCUCUCUGCUCUUAGACCAUAGGAGCCAUCUACUUGUUUUAGCUCAAGCUGCACUCUCUUGAGGCAGGCCUUGCUCCAGACAGGUGACCUCUCUUAAAUGCAGGAUUCAGUAAGCGAGAGCAGGUGCUGGGAAUUCCUGUCCCCUCAGAAGAGCUGUUUUCAUGAGGGCUCAUGCUGAGCUGCAGAAUCGGGGGUGUCCGAGGGUGUGGUGGGUGGUUUGGGGUAGACAGCUCAUACAGCCUGAAAAGGAGACCGGAGCUGAGGUUUGCUUCCUUGCUAAAGCCUCAGCCAUGGAGAUGGGUGAAGUGGGGCUCUGCAUCAUGGCUGCAAUAUGUUCACAGAAAAGGUUUCUAUUACAGUGUUUAUGAGUACUGUGUAUUUCUUUACCCAGAGAUGAUAGGCCUCUCAGUAUUGGCAGAUGUGCCUCAGCUGUCCCUAAAGCAACCAUGGAGUCAUUGGCAGCAGCUUCAAAAGCCACAGCCUUCACCUAUGGGGAUUUUUUUGCAUGUCCUUGGUCUCCAGUGGACAUAUAUAAACUGACUUUAAAGCGAACAACGGGGUCGUACAGCCAUAUGUAUAAAGUUCUCAUAUUUGCAUCUCAGGUGUUUCCUUGGGGAAUUUGUGUCCUCAAGAAAUCUCAAGAAUUUCCUUGAGGGUUCUUCCAGUGAAGUUCUUGGUUGUUAUUCAGUAUUUCCACACUUGCCUGCAGCCAUGGUCAAUCAGUGGAAGCAGGCAGGUGCUCAAAGCUGCUGCAGUGGAGGCACAGAUGUGAGCAUCAGGACUGUCUCAUGGCAGUGGUGAAGAGGUGAAAACCAGCUGGUGUGUGGAGGCCCUUUUUGGUGCUGUUCUUCACUCAGACACUGAGCAACUGGGUUGAUUUCUGUAUCAAUAAUCUUCCAUCAUAAACUGCUCUGGUUUGCAGCUCAGCAGUAACAUCACUGUAGCCACCAGGACCUCAGCAUAAGCUGCUAAUUUUUUAAGGUCUUUGCUUACUCCUGUGUUUAUCUGUGCUCCUGUCUAUUCAGUCCAGCAAUCAUUUUUUUCUGGACUUCCCCUCACUCUCACGAGAGCACGUGCCUGUCAGUGAUGAGUGUAGUCAUUUUACAGCUUCUUCUUCCCCUCCCUCAGCAUCCAGCAUCCACGUGAUGCUCACAGAAGCUGGGCAGAUCCAUUGCUCCUGAAAGCCAGACCCUGUGCUUAUCACUUCAGUGUGUGUCCAGUCACCAGUGUUUUGUGUGUCAUCACCUGAUACUCCAGCCAGAGAUGGGUGCUGCAGCAAGGGGAAAUGAGUGGUGGGAGGAACACGUUUGCACCUUUCACCCAGUGAAUCAGGACACAGGAAUGUCAGGCAGGGAAGAUUUAUGUUAUCUGAGCUGCCCAGUAGCAGAUUUCUUAUUUCAUCAGAAAACCCCGACUUUUCCACUGAUGCAAUCCAGAGCUCUGCCAGAGGGACUGUCUUGGUGGUGUUCCGAUGUUGCCAUAUGAUCCCUUUUCCGCUCCUUUUCACAUACAGUGUGUGAAAACACACAUUUUCCCAGCAGUCCCCUUCCCAGUGCUUCAAACAAAGCCAGGCUGUCUGAUUAUUUCUCAUGACAGGUAUAAAACUGCUGGAUCCACAGCAGAAAACCUCUUGUGAUAAGGAAGCUCUCACUGCAAAUAAUAAGCCAGAUUUCCGUGGAAACCUGCACAGUUCCAGACCCUGGACAGGCCACAGAUUCUACAGCAGGGUUCUGUUCUUCUAACAGAUACCCAAAGGCAGAUUUUCUUUUAAUUAAGUAUGAAAAUAUAUAAUGCAGUCGGCAUGAUGCUUCUUGGUAUGUUUAUGAUUAUACUCCAUUUAUUUGUUUUGUUCUCAACAUCUUCUUCCAUUGGGAGGGAAUUUUCCAUACCACCUGUGUAUGAGGAGUGAAUGGGACUUAAGGAUGGUGGGAGCAAGACAGAGCUCAGUUGUGGUUUUUAUUAUCAGAGUGCAAAUGGGCACCAUUUAUGGUUGUGAACUAACACACUAACUGAUCUUUUCCAUAAAAUAAUAUUGACAUUGCAAAGUUGAUGUUUUUAAGCUGUUGUCUUUAGGUUUCAGUAUUACAAAGCUUUAGAGUCCAGUGGAGUAUUUAAUUUCUCAUUACACUUAAUGUUUCACCUUCUGUUUCCAAACUCAGAAAAAAAUAUUUAUUGUUUCAGUAAUAUUCUGACAAUAUUUUAUUAUUUUUCUCUCCAACCAAAGGACAAAAAUAAUUUAAUUUCCCCAGCAUGAAGAUAAUUCCAUGAAUCCCAGCUCUGUAGAGGGAGCUGCUCCAUAGAGCCUCUUCUCCGUGUACAGACUCCUUGGGGCUCCUACGUCCUCUGUGUCUCCCAGCUUUGAUUCUGCCUUUCUCUUUGCCUUAUUUUUCCUUUUGACUACUUUUCUGUGCUCUAAGGUCAAAGGUUUUCCCCAUGGAAAGAAAAAGUUUACCCAUUCCUAGCCUUUCCUACACUAUUUGCGCACCUAGCAUCACAAGCCCCAUACCAAGCCUGGCAGCGCUUGGGCACACAGGCACAACGGGCAGCGAGGGGCUCUCCAGCCCUUCACCUGCCUGCACACCAUGCCCUCCCUGCCGUGUUCCCAUCCCGGUGCUGCAGUUCUGCAGCUGGAGACAAUGUGCUGGAGCUUUCUGUCUGAGGGGAGUUCAGGGAGGGGAGAGGGGAAAAGGCUGUUAGAUCUAUUGCUGGCAAUUUAGAUUCAGAGACAUUUCAUCUGCAGUUCCCUCAAGUGUUGAAUUGAAUAAAACCAGAGCAGCAGUGGAAAAGGAGGUGGGGGAAGGGCUCCAACCACUCUUAGCUAAACAAAAAGAGACAGGCAGCUCAUAAAAAAGGAAUUGCACCCUUGAGUUGAAAAUCUGGAUUCACAGGGCAGGGAGGAGGCCGCGUGGCAGAGCCCACCCAUGGCCAGGCAGCACUGCUGUGGAUUUCUCGCACUCCUGCAGCCAGAGCAGAUCACAAGGCUCAAUUCUGGGUUUCCUGAUUUUCUGUUGAUUUUUUGAAGCUCUUGUUGUAAAAUCAAGCAGGAAGAACAGAAUCUCAGGCUUUGGUUGCAAUUAAAAAAAACCCUGUCCUUCACUUUCCAGUGCUUUAGGAGAAAAGUCCUCAAGGGUCAAAAAUUCAAAAGAAGUAACUUAACACUUAUAAUUUUGUAAACACUUUCUGCUGAGGGCCAUACUCAUCAUUCCCAGUUUCAGCUGCGGGAUGGUAGAAGUGUUCUCACCAUUAGGCAUUUUUGUUCCUCUGCCUUUGAGGGAAUUGCUCUGGCUAUGCACUGCAGCACCUGGAUUUCUCUGAAUCUGUCCUAUUCCCCAGGUGUCAGGUGAGGACGGCUUCACAGGAGCGCUCAUCCGGGCCAAGGCUGGGAGGAGAGCCACAGCCAUCAGAGAGAACCGGGUUACAGCAGACAGUACAUCCUCAGGGGCUCUCCUGCCUUGUGCGAGUGUGGUGCCAAUGCCCCUGCAGUGCCACAGGGCUGGCUGUGGCUUCCUUCAGGUGGGAAGGCAGGUAUUUUGUUUGCCCCAUCCCGACCUUCUUUAUUGCCCCUGUGCUCCUUUGGUACAUGUUAGUGGCAGAUCUGCUGCCUUACACUUUGCUCAGCCCUGCUUCAGGCCAGGUACAGGUGUGCAUACAAAGAGCACCUGCUCAGCCCUGCUUCAGAACAGGUCAGGCUCCACAGCCAAAGCCUGACCAGCACUGAGGUGACUCCAUGGUACAGAUGGGCAGCCUGGGCAGGUGUGUGGCACAGGGCUGAUGGCAAUUUGGCCAAGUGUUGUGUUUGCAUUACAGCGUUCCCUGCCUAAAAAGUGUCCUCUGCCUUUGUGGUGCACCUGCAGAAUCCCACGUGAAGCACAAAGGUAAGACCAGGGUGAAGAGCUGGGACUCCUCAGCACAGCACCAACAUCUUCCCUUCAAGUGAUUUCAGCUGUAAAACAGGACUCUUACCUGUGUCACCAGAAUUUGGGAGUCUGAUUAGCCACAUCCUAUAAAAGGCUGAAGCAGCCUUACUGUAAAUCCUGGACCAGAGACCACAGAACAGGAGAGGCUGUCUCACAGGCAUAUAUUUAUGCUGCCCUGUUUCACUGUACUAUCGAUCCAGCGGCUUGCUAAGAUACAGCCCUGCCUGCUGUGGUGGUCUAAUUCAUUUUUAGGCAUCAUUAUUUUUCAUGUUGUGGUCUUCCCCUGCUUCGGGUUCUUCUCCCCACCCAUCCCCAAAAAUGCCCAUUCCUGUCUGUCUCUAGGCAUGAGAUGCUCCCACAUGUAUGUGUGCAUACCAGGGAGAUGGAGAGGCAGCUUCAGCUACACUAAGCAAUUAAACUCCAGUAGCUCAGGGAUGAGCAGGAGGCCGUGAUUUUCUUUUCCUUCGCAGUAAUUGCCUCUGCAAUCAGCUUUGAUCACCCGAGAGCAGAAGAGAUGAGUGCUGCAAGUUGACAUCAGUGGUUUUAAUAUAUCCAUUUACAUAUACAGGAGCAGUGCAGCAUACAGCUUUCCAUAGCGCCUCUGACCUGAAACCAUCGCCGCUCCAUAGAUACCUCAUUUAAUUUAAUACUUCACCACCACUGCGGAAGCCAUACGAUGGGGAUGGGAGGGGGCAUAAUCAAGCCCUCACUCUCUCGCUCUCCGUGCAUGUCUGUAAAAAUGACAUGAAAGUAAUUGCUUUUGAAAAGCAAAGCAGAAAUAGCACAAUUGAUUCUACUUAAAUGAGAGGAGAAGGGGUGGGGGUGGGGGAAGCUCACCCUAAACAUGCCACCUUCUUUCUUCUUUCCUGCUGCAAGAACAUCGCUGCGUGGGGCUGCACUGGGACAGAAGAAAGGUGGGCUUGUCUGAAUGGCACGGGAAGGAGGGAAGCUAGGGCAGGCAGUGCUGCUUUGGGCAGAAUGCACACCUUGGUGACCUCGGACCCACAGGCAGAUGCUGCUCCAUGGAGCCAUGUGGCAUGCCCUAUUGUCACAGGCACUCCUGGUGCCCGAGAGCUGGCAGGGAGCUUCAUUGCACUGGAAAUCCUAGAAUCACUCUGCCUACCAAACCCACUCACCUGCCUGGCAGCUGGGGGGAGGAGGAUGAUGAGGGUGAGACAUCAGCUCCUCUCCAUCUCUAAUGUAUAUCUCAUAAUCCCUGUUGACAAAGCUUUGUGAGCCUAUGGUUUUGGAAUCCAGUCUCCUGCUGCUGGUGGAUGCUCACCCUUCUGCCAAGGACCUCCCAGUGCCCCCUCUGUGACCUGGCACACCACUCAGCCCCCCCUCUGUGGAAGCCAGGACCUGGCAUCAUGGGCUGUGCGCUGCCAGUGUGUGCUGAAAUACAUCUUAAUUGUAGACAAUAACAUGAUUUUGUGUUAAUUACAUGCAAAUUGAUUAUUAGUAUAUUUAUAGAAUGUUGACAUCUGAGUGACAGUCUUCAAUAAAUAUGUUUUACUAAUCAGUUAGCAUUAAUUAAUAUCAAAAUCCUCUGUAGGUUUAGCAAGUCAGUGAACUUUGAUGAGGCUCCUCUGUUGCUGCCAGUGUUGCUGGAUGUUGGCGGUGUUGCUGGCAGCACUCAUCUGUUCUGCAAGCAGUGUGGAGCACAAGUGGGCCCAGGGAGUCCAAGGGUAGUGGUAGUGCUGGAAGGACAGAUGGACACAUGCCCAGAGGGAGAAGCCUCUGGGAAACAUUGCUCUUGGGAGAGCCCCCCAUUCAGCAGGGCCUGCCUGAGGGCAGGAGGGCUGCCAGCUUGAGCCAAGGUGGUAGUGGCCAGGCAGUGCUUCCAAGAAGCUCUGGAGACCCCUUUCUCCAGGACACAGGGCUGCUUCCAGGUAUAUCUGAGCAGCAGAAGAAGGAUGCUGUGCACACAGGACCCUUGUUAUGGAAAGGCAAUCCCCAGCCAGCAUUGCAGAGUUCUUAUGCUGAAUUUAAGCCACCAAGCAGAUCAACUCCUAAGCUAUGUGGGCAACAUUUUCUCUUGCCUCCCCAUCUUUAGCAGGGCAGGAGCCAUACAGUGCCUGCUGACUGUGGCUUCUCUUGCCCAUCACAGAAGAUGAGCAGCAUCCCUGAGGAGUAAACGGCCAAGGUAGCGGGGAGAGUAGCUGUGCGCUGGGGUCAGCACUUGACUCUUGUCAUGCUAAUGCUCCUUGGUUGACAAUUAUGAUUCUUCCGUGCUUCCGCAUUGUGCAAACACCUUAGAGCUGGGACACCAAGAAGUGAAUACGCUGAACCCUUAGAGCUGCUUCUGUUCAGGCAGAUGGACAGGCUGUGGGGUGCCUGAGACCCUUCUGCUCUGCUCUGAGGACAGCAGACACAGGGAAAAUGCCUGAAGAGCUCAACAUGCUGCUGCAACAGGAGCUGGGUGUUUGAUUACUGGUUAGAAUAAUUUUGGUCUUUCUCAGCUGCUCUUUGCUUCCCUCACUGCAGGAGCCUGACACCCCUUCUGUGAGCAGAGGCAGGUGCCCCAGUCAGCAGGGUUUCUGCUUUCCCGAGCUGGACAUGUCUGCCUGCUGUGGGCAAACAUGUCAAAUCACACCUACCAUAUUGGCUUCCUGUCCCCAGAACAUCAGAUUUUUGCAGCUAAUGUGUGGGGGGUGUCUCCUCCUGCCAAUCCCCACCCCCAGCAGCAUCAGGUCUGUGCUGUUCGGGGUUUUGUUAAGCCGUUUAGUAUUAAUUGAUUUUUUUUUUUCCAUUUUUUCUUUCUUUCCCUGGGCGGGUCAAUAGCUGGAUGCUCAAGAGCAGAGGAUCUAUCAACUGCAGACCAAGCAGAGGGAGAGGCAGGCAGACCUGGAGCAGAAAUGCAGCCAGAGCAGCAGCUCAGCCAGGACCUGGGGGCCAGCCACCAGCUACGGAAAGGAGCUUGGAGCAGGAGUCUGGUUGGUGCAUCCAUGCUGGGCUAUAGAGGCCACAGAUCCCACGGUGGUUCCAGGAGCACUCUGCCAGCCUCAGCCACCCGCAGCUCAUGGGCUCAGGAAGCAGAAAUGGGGUCUUGCAUUCCAUCAAUCACAGCCCCAAGCCUAAUUCCUGAGGAGGAACAGAGCUACAGCAGCUGAGACUGCAGUGAGCUCUUGUGAGAAAGAUGGUGCAAAUGCCCCAGAUCUUCAGCAAGAUUAGGACCAUCUGGCUGAGUCAUACCUUGGAGACUGGGGACAGCUGCUAAACAUCUGGAAAAAAGAAGACAUUUUAUAAGGUUCCCGGGGUUAGCAGGAAGGGAUUGACCUCCAGUACCCACGGUCGUGAAAAUUUCCCCUUACUCUGAAAUCAGUAACUUCUCUGACUAAGAUAGCUUCAGACAAGCGUUUGGCUGAACUUGAAGACAUCAAGAGACAGACAUCCUCCUCUGGCAGUCAGUCUCUUCACAUCACUCCCACUGUUUUGGGUUUUUUUCUUCUCAUGAUUGCUAUGCCAACAGAGCUAAUGAAGCUUUCUAUGCAGCA
rnacentral:lncRNA from 1 species